rnacentral:lncRNA from 1 species
CUCUUACUGAUAUGUUCAUCUUCCAGGCAGGAGGCAGGAUAAUAAUACAUGUGUGGUAGAAGCUGAACCAUGACACAGAAAUCACGAGAGGGGUCAAAGACACAGUUGAUACACAUGGGAUGAGCCUUGUGUUACAGGCCCACCAACUGACUGGAUAUGGCACAACAGAAGGUCAUCUAUAUAUGUAAAAGAGUACCUAGGGGAUUGUUGGCCCAGAAAGAGGCAAGAUCAUGAUGUAGAGCUUCAUCAAACAAGAGAGUCGUCCUUCCUUAAUACUCAGGAAUAAAUUUGGCGUGAUAGAACCACCACCAGAUGAAAUUAUUUUUCUGCCACCACCAGUUGAUGUAAUGAUAAAAUCUCCAUUCUCUUAUUGAUCAUUUUUAACUUUUAGGACAGCCACAGCUAAGGAACCAUACCAUUAUGAUACUCCUGUGGGCUGCCUACGUUCUACAAGCCCAGCUCUCUGAUACCCCACCACCACCACCACUAACUGAAUUUGGACCUGUUCUUCAAUGCACUUCCCCAACAUGCUUAUAAAAGUGAUGGCAACUAUCAUUUCAUCCAUUUAUAAAUUUUGUUUCUCAGGUGGUAUAAUGGGGCUGCCAAAGUAGCGAACCCUGGGAUCCAGAGUCCACAGAAUC